CCUACGGGAGGCAGCAGUGGGGAAUUUUGGACAAUGGGCGCAAGCCUGAUCCAGCUAUUCCGCGUGUGGGAAGACGGCCUUCGGGUUGUAAACCACUUUUGUAGAGAACGAAAAGUCUGUUGAUAAUACCGAUAGAUGAUGACGGUACUCUAAGAAUAAGCACCGGCUAACUACGUGCCAGCAGCCGCGGUAAUACGUAGGAGGCGAGCGUUAUCCGGAAUGACUGGGCGUAAAGGGUGCGUAGGUGGUUUGGCAAGUUAGUAGCGUAACUCCAAGGCUCAACCUUGGAACUACUACUAAAACUGUUGGACUUGAGUGCAGGAGGGGCAACCGGAAUUCCUAGUGUAGCGGUGGAAUGCGUAGAUAUUAGGAGGAACACCAGUGGCGAAGGCGGGUUGCUAGACUGUAACUGACACUGAGGCACGAAAGCGUGGGGAGCAAACAGGAUUAGAUACCCGAGUAGUC
rnacentral:rRNA from 1 species